UGUUCUCAAUUCCCCAUGAGCUUUUCUUGUUGGGUGAAUUGGACUUUGGAGGUUCAUUGCAGGUUCCCCUAUGAAUGGGGGGAUCAGCUCCUCUUGAAGAUAUUAGCUGGAGAGAUGAGGAAAAAGAGGCCUUUGGCAUUGCUUGUCUUGCUGUGAUGUGAUAACUAUUUCAUCCAUGGCUGUUGAUGGCAAGUGUGCAUAAAUAAAGUCCCUUUUAGCUUUCUCUGCUUCAAAUGGUUAGGGUCUAAUCCUGACAAUGCUUAUCAACU
rnacentral:misc_RNA from 1 species